UGGGGAAUUUUGGACAAUGGGCGAAAGCCUGAUCCAGCAAUGCCGCGUGUGUGAAGAAGGCCUUCGGGUUGUAAAGCACUUUUGUCCGGAAAGAAAUCCUUGGCUCUAAUACAGUCGGGGGAUGACGGUACCGGAAGAAUAAGCACCGGCUAACUACGUGCCAGCAGCCGCGGUAAUACGUAGGGUGCAAGCGUUAAUCGGAAUUACUGGGCGUAAAGCGUGCGCAGGCGGUUUGCUAAGACCGAUGUGAAAUCCCCGGGCUCAACCUGGGAACUGCAUUGGUGACUGGCAGGCUAGAGUAUGGCAGAGGGGGGUAGAAUUCCACGUGUAGCAGUGAAAUGCGUAGAGAUGUGGAGGAAUACCGAUGGCGAAGGCAGCCCCCUGGGGCCAAUACUGACGCUCAUGCACGAAAGCGUGGGGGAGCAAACAGGAUUAGAUACCCUGGUAGUCCACGCCCUAAACGAUGUCAACUAGUUGUUGGGGAUUCAUUUCCUUAGUAACGUAGCUAACGCGUGAAGUUGACCGCCUGGGGAGUACGGUCGCAAGAUU
rnacentral:rRNA from 1 species